GUGACUCAGCAGUAGUAUGUGGCUGACAUUAAAUUAGAGUCACGUUUACGUAACACGUCAUAGUUUCGACGAGCUGUAACCACAGAGCUGAUGGGAGACUGUGGGGGUGUUUUUACCUCAGAAGGUUCUCUGUUGGGACUGCCCACGCAGCCGAGAAGCAACUGAAGGGACUCUGCUUUCUUUUUGAGCUGCUUAAAACACAAGUGCUGUAAAAGAAGCGCCGAUUCAGAAUUACAGAAGUGGUGAGAAGAAAAAGGAGACGUCAAGUAGUGCAGAGAGACAGAAACUCAGAUAUUAAACUUUCAGAUGGAAUGAGUGCCCAUGUGCAAGCUUUGGUAGCAGAACAGCUUCAGGGGUUGGCCUUCGUGAGAAGAGACCUCCAUCUCCAACAGAGCCAGUGAUCUCUGAAAUACACCUGCUGCAGGAUAAAGAUCGAAAAGAAAUAUCUUCCUGGCAGCACUGUGUAUGGAAGGAAUAAGGAAAGUAACAAGGAGAAAGUUGCGCGCAUUUACAACAUGAAGAUGCUAUUCAAGGUCAGAAGAAGAAGGUCUUCUAUCUACGUAGAAGGAGGUGGAGACCAUAUAAACACUCAUUGAAAGAGACCCAUGAAGAAAACAGAAGUAGGGGAAAGCACUACAGCUGGAAAAUAAAUCUUGACAAUCCUCCAUUCUUGCUGUCAGACAACACCAGAAGCACACUGGCUUCAAGCAGUCCAGUAUCAAAGUGGAUUUGGAGAUUUGGCUAUUGAUUUCUCCUCUCUGUGUCUCAGAUGGAAGAGGUGGAGCAGUUGAGUUCUUCCUUAUUCUCCUGUCCAUGUGAUCGUUCACCUUUAUUUUAACGCCAUUUCACCUCAAUUUCCUUCAACUCUGUCUAUCUAUGCCAACCGCAACCGAUGAUCCUGCAACCCAGAACUGUGCAAACUUGAGAAGGAGAAACAAAGAAGAUGAAGGCGAACAUUUCAGACACUGCAUGUCUGUACAAAAAUGACAGCUAAGCAAUCCCCC
ensembl:lncRNA